GUACUACUCCCUCCAUCCCAAAAUUCUUGUCUUAAAUUUGUCUAAAUAUGGAUGUAUCAAGUCAUGUUUUAGUAUUAGAUGCAUCCGUAUCUAGACAAAUGUAAGACAAGAAUUUUGUGAUGGAGGGAGUACUAC
rnacentral:pre_miRNA from 1 species